AGAAAAAUCGAUUUCCUGAGUAGCGGCGAGCGAAACGGAAAGAGCCCAAACCAAGAAGCUUGCUUCUUGGGGUUGUAGGACACUCUAUACGGAGUUACAAAAGAAAGUUAUAAAUGAAGCGGUCUGGAAAGGCCCGCCAAAGACGGUAACAGCCCGGUAGUUGAAAUGGCUUUCCCUCCAGAGUGGAUCCUGAGUACGGCGGAACACGUGAAAUUCCGUCGGAAUCCGGGAGGACCAUCUCCCAAGGCUAAAUACUCCCUAGUGACCGAUAGUGAACCAGUACCGUGAGGGAAAGGUGAAAAGCACCCCGGAAGGGGAGUGAAACAGUUCCUGAAACCGUGUGCCUACAAGUAGUUAGAGCCCGUUAAUGGGUGAUAGCGUGCCUUUUGUAGAAUGAACCGGCGAGUUACGAUUUGUUGCAAGGUUAAGCGGAAAAAGCGGAGCCGUAGCGAAAGCGAGUCUGAAUAGGGCGCAUAAGUAACAGGUCGUAGACCCGAAACCAGGUGAUCUACCCAUGUCCAGGAUGAAGGUAAGGUAAUACUUACUGGAGGUCCGAACCCACGCACGUUGAAAAGUGCGGGGAUGAGGUGUGGGUAGCGGAGAAAUUCCAAUCGAACUUGGAGAUAGCUGGUUCUCUCCGAAAUAGCUUUAGGGCUAGCCUCGAGGUAAAGAGUCAUGGAGGUAGAGCACUGUUUGGACUAGGGGCCCUUCUCGGGUUACCGAAUUCAGAUAAACUCCGAAUGCCAUGUACUUAUACUCGGGAGUCAGACUGCGAGUGAUAAGAUCCGUAGUCGAAAGGGAAACAGCCCAGACCACCAGUUAAGGUCCCCAAAUAUAUGUUAAGUGGAAAAGGAUGUGGGGUUGCUUAGACAACCAGGAUGUUGGCUUAGAAGCAGCCACCAUUGAAAGAGUGCGUAAUAGCUCACUGGUCGAGUGACCCCGCGCCGAAAAUGUACCGGGGCUAAACAUAUUACCGAAACUGUGGAUGAACCUCUUUAGAGGUUCGUGGUAGGAGAGCGUUCUAAGGGCGGUGAAGUCAGACCGGAAGGACUGGUGGAGCGCUUAGAAGUGAGAAUGCCGGUAUGAGUAGCGAAAGAAGGGUGAGAAUCCCUUCCACCGAAUAUCUAAGGUUUCCUGAGGAAGGCUCGUCCGCUC
rnacentral:rRNA from 1 species